rnacentral:rRNA from 1 species
AUUGAACGCUGGCGGCAGGCUUAACACAUGCAAGUCGAACGAGUGGCGGACGGGUGAGUAAUGCUUGGGCAUCUGGCUUAUGGAGGGGGAUAACUACGGGAAACUGUAGCUAAUACCGCAUACCAUCGGAUGUGCCCAAGUGGGAUUAGGUAGUUGGUGGGGUAAAGGCUCACCAAGCCGACGAUCCCUAGCUGGUCUGAGAGGAUGACCAGCCACACUGGGACUGAGACACGGUCCAGACUCCUACGGGAGGCAGCAGUGGGGAAUAUUGCGCAAUGGGGGCAAGCCUGAUGCAGCCAUGCCGCGUGUAUGAAGAAGGCCUUCGGGUUGUAAAGUUCUUUCGGUAGGGAGGCGUUACCUACAGAAGAAGCACCGGCUAACUCCGUGCCAGCAGCCGCGGUAAUAC